rnacentral:rRNA from 1 species
UACGUAGGGAGCAAGCGUUGUCCGGAAUCAUUGGGCGUAAAGCGCGCGUAGGUGGCUUCAUAAGUCCGUUGUGAAAGUCAAAGGCUCAACCUUUGAAAGCCGAUGGAUACUGUGGAGCUAGAGUACGGAAGAGGAGAGUGGAAUUCCUGGUGUAGCGGUGAAAUGCGCAGAUAUCAGGAAGAACACCCGUGGCGAAGGCGGCUCUCUGGUACGUGACUGACGCUGAGACGCGAAAGCGUGGGGAGCAAACAGG